GAUGAACGCUGGCGGCGUGCCUAAUACAUGCAAGUCGAGCGAACAGAUGAGGAGCUUGCUCCUCUGACGUUAGCGGCGGACGGGUGAGUAACACGUGGAUAACCUACCUAUAAGACUGGGAUAACUUCGGGAAACCGGAGCUAAUACCGGAUAAUAUAUUGAACCGCAUGGUUCAAUAGUGAAAGACGGUUUUGCUGUCACUUAUAGAUGAAUCCGCGCCGCAUUAGCUAGUUGGUAAGGUAACGGCUUACCAAGGCGACGAUGCGUAGCCGACCUGAGAGGGUGAUCGGCCACACUGGAACUGAGACACGGUCCAGACUCCUACGGGAGGCAGCAGUAGGGAAUCUUCCGCAAUGGGCGAAAGCCUGACGGAGCAACGCCGCGUGAGUGAUGAAGGUCUUCGGAUCGUAAAACUCUGUUAUUAGGGAAGAACAAAUGUGUAAGUAACUAUGCACGUCUUGACGGUACCUAAUCAGAAAGCCACGGCUAACUACGUG
rnacentral:rRNA from 1 species